rnacentral:tRNA from 1 species
GCGGAAGUGGCGGAACUGGCAGACGCACUAGAUUCAGGUUCUAGCGCUCGAAAGGGUGUGGGGGUUCAAAUCCCCCCUUCCGCACCA